AUUGAACGCUGGCGGCAUGCCUUACACAUGCAAGUCGAACGGUAACAGGUCUUCGGAUGCUGACGAGUGGCGAACGGGUGAGUAAUACAUCGGAACGUGCCUAGUAGUGGGGGAUAACUACUCGAAAGAGUGGCUAAUACCGCAUGAGAUCUACGGAUGAAAGCAGGGGAUCGCAAGACCUUGUGCUACUAGAGCGGCCGAUGGCAGAUUAGGUAGUUGGUGGGAUAAAAGCUUACCAAGCCGACGAACUGUAGCUGGUCUGAGAGGACGAUCAGCCAGACUGGGAGUGAGACACGGCCCAGACUCCUACGGGAGGCAGCAGUGGGGAAUUUUGGACAAGGGGCGCAAGCCUGAUCCAGCAAUGCCGCGUGCAGGAUGAAGGCCUUCGGGUUGUAAACUGCUUUUGUACGGAACGAAAAGCCCUGGGUUAAUACCCUGGGGUCAUGACGGUACCGUAAGAAUAAGCACCGGCUAACUACGUGCCAGCCGCCACCGUAAGAC
rnacentral:rRNA from 1 species